UGGUAAUUCUAGAGCUAAUACAUGCUAAAAACCCCGACUUCGGAAGGGGUGUAUUUAUUAGAUAAAAAACCAACGCCCUUCGGGGCUUCUUGGUGAUUCAUGAUAACUUUACGGAUCGCAUGGCCUUGCGCCGGCGACGGUUCAUUCAAAUUUCUGCCCUAUCAACUUUCGAUGGUAAGGUAUUGGCUUACCAUGGUUUCAACGGGUAACGGGGAAUUAGGGUUCGAUUCCGGAGAGGGAGCCUGAGAAACGGCUACCACAUCCAAGGAAGGCAGCAGGCGCGCAAAUUACCCAAUCCCGACACGGGGAGGUAGUGACAAUAAAUACUGAUACAGGGCUCUUUUGGGUCUUGUAAUUGGAAUGAGUACAAUUUAAACCUCUUAACGAGGAACAAUUGGAGGGCAAGUCUGGUGCCAGCAGCCGCGGUAAUUCCAGCUCCAAUAGCGUAUAUUAAAGUUGUUGCAGUUAAAAAGCUCGUAGUUGAAUUUUGGGUCUGGCUGGCAGGUCCGCCUCACCGCGUGUACUUGUCCGGCCGGGCCUUCCUUCUGGAGAACCUCAUGCCCUUCACUGGGCGUGUUGGGGACCAGGAC
rnacentral:rRNA from 1 species